UGAUAUUCCUUAAAAAGAAACUGCUGUUAUUUACUUCAUAUGUCUCACUAGUUUUCUUCAACAAAAAGAAAAAAUGAGAGAGAGGAAGAGAGAAAUAGAGAGGAAGAGACAGAGACAGAGAAACAGAGAGAGAAGAGAACCUCCCAAACUUCAAAUUAGAGACAAGAGAGAAAAGAGCCAGCAGGAAGAUAGAACACAAAGAGAACAAAACCAAGGAAGUGUUCAAAGAACCCGCUGAAUACACUGCACAUCUCAACCACAGAAAUAUUUUCAGGUGAUUUUGGGUUUUUUUUUUAACAAAACGUGGGAACCACAGGAUC
rnacentral:lncRNA from 1 species